rnacentral:rRNA from 4 species
CCUGGCGGCACUAGCGCGGUGGUCCCACCUGACCCCAUGCCGAACUCAGAAGUGAAACGCCGUAGCGCCGAUGGUAGUGUGGGGUCUCCCCAUGCGAGAGUAGGG